UAGGGAAUCUUCGGCAAUGGACAAAAGUCUGACCGAGCAACGCCGCGUGAGUGAAGAAGGUUUUCGGAUCGUAAAACUCUGUUGUUAGAGAAGAACAAGGACGUUAGUAACUGAACGUCCCCUGACGGUAUCUAACCAGAAAGCCACGGCUAACUACGUGCCAGCAGCCGCGGUAAUACGUAGGUGGCAAGCGUUGUCCGGAUUUAUUGGGCGUAAAGCGAGCGCAGGCGGUUUCUUAAGUCUGAUGUGAAAGCCCCCGGCUCAACCGGGGAGGGUCAUUGGAAACUGGGAGACUUGAGUGCAGAAGAGGAGAGUGGAAUUCCAUGUGUAGCGGUGAAAUGCGUAGAUAUAUGGAGGAACACCAGUGGCGAAGGCGGCUCUCUGGUCUGUAACUGACGCUGAGGCUCGAAAGCGUGGGGAGCAAACAGG
rnacentral:rRNA from 2 species